GAUGAACGCUGGCGGCGUGCCUAAUACAUGCAAGUCGAGCGAAUGGAUUAAGAGCUUGCUCUUAUGAAGUUAGCGGCGGACGGGUGAGUAACACGUGGGUAACCUGCCCGUAAGACUGGGAUAACUCCGGGAAACCGGGGCUAAUACCGGAUAACAUUUUGAACCGCAUGGUUCGAAAUUGAAAGGCGGCUUCGGCUGUCACUUAUGGAUGGACCCGCGUCGCAUUAGCUAGUUGGUGAGGUAACGGCUCACAAAGGCAACGAUGCGUAGCCGACCUGAGAGGGUGAUCGGCCACACUGGGACUGAGACACGGCCCAGACUCCUACGGGAAGCAGCAGUAGGGAAUCUUCCGCAAUGGACGAAAGUCUGACGGAGCAACGCAGCGUGAGUGAUGAAGGCUUUCGGGUCGUAAAACUCUGUUGUUAGGGAAGAACAAGUGCUAGUUGAAUAAGCUGGCACCUUGACGGUACCUAACCAGAUAGCCACGGCUAACUACGUGCCAGCCGCCGCGGUAA
rnacentral:rRNA from 1 species